rnacentral:tRNA from 1 species
CAGGGUAUAGCCCAAGUGGUAGAGCACAUGUUUAGCAUGCAUGAGGUCCUAGGUUCAAUCCCCAGUACCUCAA